rnacentral:rRNA from 1 species
CUGGAAACGGCUGCUAAUACCGAAUACGUCUUUUCAUCGCAUGGUGAGAAGAAGAAAAAGGACGGCCUCUACACAAAGCGGUCGCCGAAGGAGGGGUUUUGCGUCUGAUUAGCUAGUUGAGGGGUAACGGCCCAACAAGGCGACGAUCAGUAGCCGGUCUGAGAGGAUGAACGGCCACAUUGGGACUGAGACACGGCCCAGACUCCUACGGGAGGCAGCAGUGGGGAAUCUUCCGCAAUGGACGAAAGUCUGACGGAGCAACGCCGCGUGAGUGAAGACGGUCUUCGGAUUGUAAAGCUCUGUUAUACGGGACGAACGGCAAGGUGGUAAAUAGCCAUCAUGAGUGACGGUACCGUAAGAGAAAGCCACGGGCUAACUACGUGCCAGCAGCCGCGGUAAAU